rnacentral:sRNA from 1 species
AUAUCAUUUUGUAAUUAGUUCUCAAAUGUAUUUGGAUAACAUCUUAGUUUGAGACUUUAGAAAAGAACAUUUCAUUUGUUGUUUCCUUCUUAUCGAUUUCGUUGUUAUAAUAGUAAGAGGAUAUAAAUAUUUUUUGUUGGCCUGUUCUUUUUCCAAACGCUGCGAUCAUAUCCAGCGACCAAAAAAACAGUUGCUUAACACACAAUUACGUUGAAGUCUGUAGAAAGUUAUGUGAAGAGGAGUCGCUCGAUUUUAAAAACAGCGACCUAUAAGGCAUAUACACGUGUCGCCAAAAAAUAACAGCAACUUAACAUUUUCACUAAGGACGCCGCCGGCGUCCAUAUUGAACGACUGUUUUUGUAUCUCCGUUAUAAUUUUUGCUUUUCGUCGGAGUCCCUAUUGCUGUCACAGCGAUUAAUAAACGAACAAGCCCAACAAUUAAUCAGAGAAAAUAGUCUCGAGAAAAUAACUCUCUUGCAUCAUAUCUCUAAUGAACAUCAAAUCUGCCUACAAAUUCUAUUUUUAAGUAAACAUAUUCCUUUUGACAAAAAAAAAAAACUAUUUGGCUAUUUCCAAUGGUAGACUAGAUCCACUCUGAAAAUAGACUAAUGACUAAUGAAUACUCAUAAUUUGGAUAAAAUUUUCAUUUUCAGAAUGAUUUUCAAAUUUAAAUAUGUUUUCAGUAAUACACGAACAAAUCUAUAUGUUUUAGGUAUACAUUGGGCAUUUAAUCAAUACUAAUAUGGUUAUCCAGUUAAUUGAAAUUUAAAAAUACAACAAUAAUGUAUUAAAUUAAAAAAUACAGUGACAUAACAAACGAUAAUUUUAUACAUAAUAAGUUAUGAAAUUUAACAUAAAAACUCAAACAAACAUAACAGAACAUAGACUAGUAAACAGUUUUGUUUAAAAACUAAUAACAAAAAAGAAAUAGAAUAUGGUACACAAAAGAGAGUAAUGGUAAUCAAUCCUAUUUGCUUCGUGCAAAUAGAGAGCAUGAGACUCUUAUUACUUACUUAGUUUGAGGAGAAAAGCUAUGUUUUUUGUAUUUUAAUUAUUAAUUUUGAAUAAUGUAUUGGUAGAACUUCUCUUAUGAAAUGAGAUGUUUUUCUAUUUUAAUUUUCCUAUUUAUUGAUUAUGCUUUUUAUAUAAUAGCUAAUUUUUUAAAAAACAUAUUAUUUAAUUUGAAUCGUUUUUGAGUAAUGAUAUGAAUGUAAAAUCAAAAUUUCACGUAACUUUCAAAUUUAAUACUAAAAAUAGUUAGCAUCAAUAAUUAAAAAUGAUACCAAAGGAUUUAUAACCUCACUAACAAAAAUGAUGUUUAUCUUAAAUUAUAACAUCAUUUAAAAGAGUGAUGCUAAAUUGUUUUAGUUUCACUGAAUUUAGCAUCGCUUUCUAAAAUGACUAUAUAAUUCUACCGUCAGUUUAAAAGUCAAACUAACUUAUAAAAAAAA